rnacentral:lncRNA from 1 species
AGAGAAAGGGCCUAGGACAGAACCCAAGGAGCACCCACGUUUGGGGAGCAGGAGGGAAAUGAGGCUCCUGAGGACAGGUAGGUUCUGAUGUUCAUACGUUUUUUCAGUCCACCUUGCUAAUCCCAGCUAUAGCAAGCAUUUGGGGCUGGCUUUGCCAGACUCGCCAACCCUCCUGUUUCCACAGCCCCAGUCUGCUCUCAGCUUAGGGCUGUAGCCAGCCCUCUUCCCUGCCAUGGUUUAUAUGAUGUCCACCAAGCCACCGUGCACAGGAAGGGUCUCAGCAAAAUCACUCUUGGAUAAGUGUCAGGAGCAGAAGUGGCUUGAAUUAGAAACGGCUUCCACAGGGAGGAGCUGGGGCCCUUGGGCAAGUCAUGUCGAUUCUCUGGGCCUCAGUUUUUCUUUCUGUAUGUGGGGACGAUGGUGUUCAUCCCACCGGGCUGUGGGAAAAUUAGAUGUGAUCACAUGUGUGAGCCAGAGAGACUUCAGUGGUGUCUAACAACAAAUGCCGCACCUUGGUUCUCAGGAGAAAUGUGAAGCGUCCCCUCUUUAUGCCUGUUUGAAACCUGAUUCUCUUGCCAGGUGUCCAUCCCUCAGGGGACAGUGGGUGACCCCAAGCCCAUAACAACAGUGACUGCUCCUGAAGGGAAUCUUGGACAUGCACACACACGUGCACACAUGUACAGUAUGCCUGGGGUCCACCCUUGCCAGUUCAGUCUUGAUUAGAUCCAGUUGAAUGCUGGCCAGUGACCUUCUGAGUGAAGCAGAAGCUGCCGGCCCAGCCCCUCGGGGGAGCCAGUGAGAUGUGAUGCCGCGUCUUUCUUCAUAAACAGAGGAGCGGAGCAUGCCCACUGCAGGAUCAGUGUCCCUGCAGGUUCUCUCUCAUUCUCUACAUCAGGGCACCCCGCACCACACAGAUGCAUGGGGCCAGAACCAAAGCGCAAGUGAGCGAUCCCUGCGGGGAUCUCCCAGAACAAACUAGAAGCAAAAUCUGCCUCUUCCUGAGGACAACAUGCAUUUUUCCAGGCCUUUCAAAGCAAGGCAGGUCAAUUGAGUUAUAAUUGGCUCUCUAAUUAGAACUGCCACAAGCUGUUAAAUUCUUUACCUGCUGCCUGAUAUAUUACACAAAGGUGACAAAUCUGCUUCUGCCUUUGCAAUGAUCAAAGAAAGCCAGCUAGAAUCUCACCUUCCUUGCCGCCAGCAGCCCCCACCAGCUACCCUUACUGCCACUCAGACGCCCACACACCCACCAGCAAGUAUGACAUGGACACAGCCCAGUUUACAAGGAAAUUGGCUGUAGGGAAAUCAAGCUCAGAAGGCUGUGUUGCUGAGCCACCGUUUGGAGCCUGAAUGGGAGGAGACAGAGCCUUCUCAUUUUUCUAGAUGUGGGAAGUGUUCUGAGGAUGUUUCAAUGAUGCUUUGAGCCUCUCCUCGUUCCAUUGUUCUGUGAUAGAAGAAAAUGUAUCUCCUUUCCCUUUCUGAAUCCUCAACACUGAAAAGGAUAGUAUUUUUGUGUUGCUCCCCUCAACCAUCAAGACGACAGUGUGCUUUGGAUGAUGGGAUCAGUGUGUUUUGUGACAUCCAGUGUCACCUGUGUCUUCUGUGUUGUCUCUGCUCUAGUGCCAGUGCCUCUUGCAGGUCCUGCUGGUUCACACUUGCAUGCAGUGCAGCUGAUGCCAGUAUGUCCCUUCCUCUCACCUCUCCCUGGCUCCACCCACAAUGACAUCACCUCGGUAGCUUGGAAUCGGCCAUGGUGGAAGUGUUUAUACCACGGAAAUUGGCAGGCGCCACAAAUCAAGGCCUUUUUCUCUUUCAGAGAGGCAGUUUGCUGACACCACUGGACUCAGAUGGUUUGAACUGUGAUGGGGGAAAGGCAGGCACAGGAGACGGGAGCAGAGUCAGGAGAGCACCGGACAUUGGCAGAGAAGAACGGUGCCAAAUGGCCCUAACCCGGGGCUCCUGGGGCACAUGGCGCUUGUGGCACAGAUCUGAUGGAGGUUCUCUGCCAUUCCAGAGGGACAGGGGCCAAGGGGGAAGGAACGAGCCCUGGAAUUGCCCAGGAUGGUGGCAGGAAGGGUAGCACGGUGGGGGAGCGCGCGUUGUGGAGCAAAAGAGCCCCUUGUUUGAAUUCUAGCUCUGCCAUACACUGGCAGUUUGUAGGACCUUGGCCAUGUGGCCGUGUGAUUUAACCUCUGUAAUACAGAAGUGAAUUCC